ACGAACGCUGGCGGCAUGCCUAACACAUGCAAGUCGAACGAGACCUUCGGGUCUAGUGGCGCACGGGUGCGUAACGCGUGGGAACCUGCCCUUAGGUUCGGAAUAACUCCCCGAAAGGGGUGCUAAUACCGGAUAAUGUCUUCGGACCAAAGAUUUAUCGCCUUUGGAUGGGCCCGCGUUGGAUUAGCUCGUUGGUAGGGUAAAAGCCUACCAAGGCGACGAUCCAUAGCUGGUCUGAGAGGAUGAUCAGCCACACUGGGACUGAGACACGGCCCAGACUCCUACGGGAGGCAGCAGUGGGGAAUAUUGGACAAUGGGCGAAAGCCUGAUCCAGCAAUGCCGCGUGAGUGAUGAAGGCCUUAGGGUUGUAAAGCUCUUUUACCCGGGAUGAUAAUGACAGUACCGGGAGAAUAAGCUCCGGCUAACUCCGUG
rnacentral:rRNA from 1 species